UAUGGUCAUAACACGUAGAAACACCGAUUCUCCUACGAUCAUCGAAGUUAAGCAACGUCGAGCCUGGUCAGUAUCUAGAUGGGUGAUCGCUUGUGAAUACUAGGU